AACGUAGGGUGCAAGCGUUGUCCGGAAUUACUGGGUGUAAAGGGAGCGCAGGCGGACCGGCAAGUUGGAAGUGAAAACUAUGGGCUCAACCCAUAAAUUGCUUUCAAAACUGCUGGCCUUGAGUAGUGCAGAGGUAGGUGGAAUUCCCGGUGUAGCGGUGGAAUGCGUAGAUAUCGGGAGGAACACCAGUGGCGAAGGCGACCUACUGGGCACCAACUGACGCUGAGGCUCGAAAGCAUGGGUAGCAAACAGGAUUAGAUACCCUGGUAGUCCAUGCCGUAAACGAUGAUUACUAGGUGUUGGAGGAUUGACCCCUUCAGUGCCGCAGUUAACACAAUAAGUAAUCCACCUGGGGAGUACGACCGCAAGGUUGAA
rnacentral:rRNA from 1 species